rnacentral:siRNA from 1 species
AUGGUUGAAGACAUUCCUCCUCA